rnacentral:rRNA from 1 species
GAUUAUGGCUCAGGAUGAACGCUAGCUACAGGCUUAACACAUGCAAGUCGAGGGGCAGCAUGUGGUGCUUGCAACCAGUGAUGGCGACCGGCGCACGGGUGAGUAACGCGUAUCCAACCUUCCCUAUAGUAGAGGAUAGCCCGGCGAAAGUCGGAUUAAUACUCUAUGUUUUCCAAUGCAGACAUCUAAAAUGGAACAAAGGUUCACCGCUAUAGGAUGGGGAUGCGUCUGAUUAGAUAGUCGGCGGGGUAACGGCCCACCGAGUCGACGAUCAGUAGGGGUUCUGAGAGGAAGGUCCCCCCACAUUGGAACUGAGACACGGUCCAAACUCCUACGGGAGGCAGCAGUGAGGAAUAUUGGUCAAUGGGCGAGAGCCUGAACCAGCCAAGUAGCGUGCAGGAUGACGGCCCUAUGGGUUGUAAACUGCUUUUAUACAGGGAUAAAGUGACGUACGUGUACGUUAUUGUAGGUACUGUAUGAAUAAGGACCGGCUAAUUCCGUGCCAGCAGCGGC